GAAAAGAACCCCGGGAGGGGAGUGAAAUAGAACCUGAAACCCUGCACUUACAAGCUGUGGAAGCACAUUUCUUGUGUGACCGCGUACUUUUUGUAGAACGGGCCAACGAGUUACGUUAAGUAGCAAGGUUAAGCACUUAAGGUGUGGAGCCGUAGCGAAAGCGAGUUUUAACUGAGCGUUCAGUUACUUGACGUAGACCCGAAACCGGGCGACCUACCCAUGAGCAGGAUGAAGCGAAAGUAAAAUUUCGUGGAGGUCCGAACCCACGAGCGUUGAAAAGCUCGGGGAUGACUUGUGGGUAGCGGUGAAAUUCCAAUCGAGCCCGGAGAUAGCUGGUUCUCCCCGAAAUAGCUUUAGGGCUAGCCUCAAGGUGAG
rnacentral:rRNA from 1 species